rnacentral:tRNA from 1 species
CCCGGCCACGGUGGGAUUCGAACCUACGACCUUUGGAAUACUAGCCCCAAUGCUCUUCCAACUGAGCUACGCGGUCAGGACGGUUCGAGUAAGUGAUAUUUCGGAACAGAAUCUAGUUCCUUCGAUACCAAUGUUUUCUAGUAAUAUGAUUUUUUUUUUGUGUUGGUGUAGUGUACUCGGGUGAAUAUGAUAUUUGUGGUGUUACUCUGAGUGUAUAUCCACACCGGGCGAGCUUGAAAAUUUUUUGCCCGGCCACGGUGGGAUUCGAACC